AUGGUCUUGAAGGCGGUCUCGGCGGCGGCGUUGCCGGCUGCGCCAGCGGAGGACGAGGCGGAGGAGGAGCGGGAGUGGGCGGGCGUGGCGGAGCGGACGUAGCAGAAAGAGUGGCCUAGGGCCUCGUCCAGCGGCCCCGAGAAUUCCGGCGGUCUCUCCUCGCGGGCACCGGCGGGCCUCAGGCACGGCACGCGGAUGAGACGGGAGGCGCCGCUCCCCAUCACAUUUGAACGUUCUCUCUGGAUAGAAAAAAUGGCAGAAGAAAACGAGUGCGAGCUUGGCUCUCCGCUGCUGGUUUUUUCCUGCUCUUCCUCUGUUCACCUCUUCGGCACGAUGCCGACGUGGCGCGGUGUACGAUGACGUGGCAAGAAGCAUGGGGUCAACGUUGUUCGGCUUUUGUCGCCCCCGGCUUUCCACGAAUUUACGCCAGUGGCAGUAUUUCAUGAACAGGAGUUGCAUCUUUCGGGAGAAAGAAGGAUUUUCCCUCCUUCGCGCGAAUCCACCGUUAGAAUGCUUUGAGAGACGAGAUCCAACGGUCGACAUCCCGAAAGAAGAUCAAUCAUUCUUUCGGGCGAAAGAUACAACCCGAACCCGUAUUUCAUUUUCUUUACGUCUGACGACGAGACCGAGGAGGAAAACGGAGCCCAGGGCCCAACCACUCGCACCAGCAUCUCCGCGGCACGUGUGAACGUACCAACCCCAUCCGACGGCCGAGAUGGGAGAUCAGAGGCGACGUCGGGGUCACGGAGUCAAUGGGCACGAGACUUUGUCGCAUCCUUAUCUGAAACUAAA